rnacentral:rRNA from 1 species
UGGGGAAUAUUGGACAAUGGGCGAAAGCCUGAUCCAGCAAUGCCGCGUGAGUGAAGAAGGCCUUCGGGUUGUAAAGCUCUUUUACCCGGGAAGAUAAUGACUGUACCGGGAGAAUAAGCCCCGGCUAACUCCGUGCCAGCAGCCGCGGUAAUACGGAGGGGGCUAGCGUUGUUCGGAAUUACUGGGCGUAAAGCGCACGUAGGCGGUUUUUCAAGUCAGAGGUGAAAGCCCGGGGCUCAACUCCGGAAUUGCCUUUGAAACUGGAAGACUUGAACACGGGAGAGGUGAGUGGAAUUCCGAGUGUAGAGGUGAAAUUCGUAGAUAUUCGGAGGAACACCAGUGGCGAAGGCGGCUCACUGGACCGUAGUUGACGCUGAGGUGCGAAAGCGUGGGGAGCAAACAGG